rnacentral:rRNA from 1 species
AGUGAACGCUGGCGGUAGGCCUAACACAUGCAAGUCGAACGGCAGCACAGUAAGAGCUUGCUCUUACGGGUGGCGAGUGGCGGACGGGUGAGGAAUACAUCGGAAUCUACUUUUUCGUGGGGGAUAACGUAGGGAAACUUACGCUAAUACCGCAUACGACCUACGGGUGAAAGCAGGGGAUCUUCGGACCUUGCACGAUUGAAUGAGCCGAUGUCGGAUUAGCUAGUUGGCGGGGUAAAGGCCCACCAAGGCGACGAUCCGUAGCUGGUCUGAGAGGAUGAUCAGCCACACUGGAACUGAGACACGGUCCAGACUCCUACGGGAGGCAGCAGUGGGGAAUAUUGGACAAUGGGCGCAAGCCUGAUCCAGCCAUACCGCGUGGGUGAAGAAGGCCUUCGGGUUGUAAAGCCCUUUUGUUGGGAAAGAAAAGCAGCAGGUUAAUACCCCGCUGUUCUGACGGUACCCAAAGAACAAGCACCGGCUAACUUCGUG